UUGGCCUAUUUUCACAACAUAUCAUUGGGAUGUAAGGAAACUAUUACAAACCAAGUUGCAUUGAAAUCGGUCGAGUAGUUCCUGAGAUAUGGUUUUUGACCCAUAAGUGGGCGACGCCACGCUCAUUUUCCAUUUUGUAAAAAAAUCUGAGUGCAGCUUUCAUCUGACACUUCUUAUGUGAAAUUUAGUGUUUCUGACGUUUUUCGUUAGUGAGUUAACUCACUUUUAGUAAUUUUCAAUCUAACUUUUGUAUGGGAGGUGGGCGUGGUUAUUAUCCGAUUUCUUUCAUUUUUGGACUGUAUUAGGAAGUGGCUAAAAAAACGACUGCAGAAAGUUUGGUUUAUAUAGCUCUAUUGGUUUGCGAGAUAUGUACAAACAAAAACUUAGUAGGGGGUGGUGUCACGCUCACUUCCCCGAAAAAAUUACAUCCAAAUAUGCCCCUUCAUAGUGCGAUCCUUCAUACCAAAUUUUAUUUCCAUAGCUUUAUUUAUGGCUUAGUUAUGGCACUUUAUGUAUCCGAUUUUGCAACUUCCUAUGGUGCCAAGAAAUAAGUGUGGAAAGUUUCAUCAAGAUAUCUUAAUUUUUACUCAAGUUACAGCUUGCACAGACGGACGGACGGACGGACAGACAGACAUUUGGAUUUGAACUCCACUCUUCACCCAGAUCACUUUGGUAUAUAUAACCCUAUAUCUAACUCGUUUAGUUUUGGGUGUUACAAACAACCGUUAUGUGAACAAAACUAUAAUACUCUCUUUAGCAACUUUUGUUCCGAGAGUAUAAAAAUUUCCUUGUAUUAUAGGACAAUUGGGUCAACAUUACGUAACAACCAAAAACAAUGAUUAUGCCUUCGGAUUUGAAGAACCACACUAAGCUAAGCAACAUUCAUUUUAAAAAGGCUGGUACAAAAAUUUUUUAGAAUUUGGUAAAAUAUUCCUUAAUAAUGGGCCGCUCUCUCAUACACUUUUGUUUCGAUGAAAUUGUAACUUUAAAACUAUUGGUAUGUAUUUUCUGAGUUUUGUCAACUCGAUUACUCUUUACUAAUCUCUUUACCGGAUUUGUUAGGAAACAACUUUAAAUCUGCUGUUUUCUAUUUUCCACAUUUAAAAUGUCAUUAUAAAAGAUAACCUAAUAACUUUAGUAUCAUAUGUAUAUACCGGUACAUAUGUGCCUACGAAAAAGUUUUGCAGACUGCAUUAAUCGACAUACAUCCAUUAAAGAUUACUUAUUUAUGUAUCAAGGGCGCAAGUAGAGUCAAUAACAAAAAUAUAGAUAAGAACUCAAUUACAUAAAGCCAAACCACAACUACCUUAUAGGUGUCUGUAGGGCAAGACGGACGUCAGCAAAACUUCCUAAAUUUUAGACAUUUAAUAGAUUGUUAAUAUGUGAUAACACAUGCGCAUAUAAGUUCACAUUUUACGAAUUUCUAAAUAGUAAAGAAUGCAUAAACAAUAAAUAAAAAAUAACCGGUUUCUGAACGCAGUUCACAUACAAAAACCAAAUGUAAACAGUAAAAGAAAGCAAUCUUGAAAAAUAAAAUAUUAAAAACGAAAAAAAGAAUUUAUAUUACCUUAACAGCUACAAUAACAUAAAUUGGAAGACAUUUUUGCGUCACCGAGAAAAUAGCGAGAGCCGAUAAAGGUGAUUGUGAAAUGUAAGGGCUACAGGUGUAUUAGAAUAAACAAAAUAAUGACAAUGUGCUAAAAUGGAAAAAGAGACUUCACUUAGACUUUUAGCAAGAAUCGAAGAUUUAAACACAGAACAACAAAGGGGAAGGCAUGGGAGAAAUAAAACCGCAUUCAAUAAAUUGCUUCAUACGUAUUUAUAUGUAUAUCUACGUAUGUAUGUUCACAUGCACAUAUUUAUUUCAAUGCAGUUAUGAUUCACCGAUUUGCUGUUAAAUAGCUAACUCUGUGUUCGCAACUUGCCUUUGUUUGCUUUAGACAGAUAUCAAUGGUUUUAUUUGUAUAAAAAUUUAACACAUAAAUAAAUGUAUGAAAUAAGCGAAAUGUGUAUAAUAUUAUAAAUUUGAGUAAUUGAAAAUUCAAUGGAAUGCAACUUGAGGCUAAAUUAACUAAAUUACUUUGUUUAUAUCAAUGGAUAUUUGAGUUUCUUUGGAAAUAUGUUUAUACAUAGAAACAUUUACUUUAACUUCAAAAAUGCUUAUCGCGAAUCUGUAUAUAUAAUUAAGCACAACGGUCAAAACUAAUUCGACAGCGUUUAGUAAUUUUAAAUUCGUCCAUAAAUAACUAUUUCACAAUAACUUACAUUGUCAAAGAUACGACGAGCUCUUCGACGAUCAUCUGUUUCAACUCCAGCUGGCGCGGAUUGACUGCGAUUCAAUGGGAUAACUUCCAUGUCAAUUGUGUCUUGCCGACGUGGUGGUGGUCGAGAUGGUGUCGGUUUUUGAGCGACUUGACCACGCUCAGAUGGCAUCUGAGGAUAGAGACCAUUUUCGGCAUCUCUUUGAUUGCGUUGACUUAUUUCUACUUGUCCUGACAUUUUGUUCCA